rnacentral:lncRNA from 1 species
GCGGUCCCUGUCUGUUUUCGUUAUGGCGCCUUGUACUUCUACCCAACGUUGCCCGACCCCAUCUUCCCAGCCCACCAGCUCGGUCCGCAUCUCCGGAUGUUUCGUGAGAUACCGAGCCUGCCGGGAAGGAACCGGAUUUUUCCGUCUGGUCCAAGGAAGCACGGGUUAUGGCCACAUGCGCAGUGAUAACUCAGGGCCCCGCGCCUUUUGACGGCUGUUGAUGAAGAUAGUGAGGAGGGAGACCAGAAGAUAAUGGACAACGAUACAGCAGAAGGGCCUGGUUACACUUGAGCUUAUUUCUUGGAAGAGUCUGAGAAGAUGGCCUGUCAGGCUCCUAACACUAAGGUAAUUGCUGGCUAAGACAGCCUGACCCUCCGGUUUCCCUUUCCCAUCGGAUCUUGACGCUGGUCUUGGUGGUCGUUAAGGAGGAACAGUACCCUGAAGCUGGCCUCACAGCGAUGCAGUCUGCUGUAGAGCAGCAGGCCAGACUCAGACAUGCCUGGGCUUUGUGAAGUGGGAAAACUUGAGAACUGAUCAGUAUUGCUGAGUAAUGGCUUACUUUCGUGUUUUUUUUCUUUCUUUUAAGGGCCAUGUAACCAGUGAAGCAGCCAUUAUAUAUGAUUUGGUCUACACUUGUUGGGUAAGCUUAAGGAUUGUUAACCCUUUUCCUAAGUAGUAUAGCAGAAAUUCAGGUUUGCAUCGUGGCUAGCCAUCUAUAAGCCACCUACAUAAUUUGUCUGGCCUGUGUGCUGAACUAGUUAGCUGUUCACAUCUGGGGCAAAGAUGUUUGCCAUGUUAGUAUUUGUCCAUUGAAGAACAUUGCAUGAGUACAAUCAGACACUGGUCCAUGAUGAAACCCAUUAUCAGUGGACAUCUAUGGAUGAGAAAUGCGGAUAUGGGACUGAGAC